rnacentral:rRNA from 1 species
UGGGCGCAGCCUGAUGCAGCCAUGCCGCGUGUGUGAAGAAGGCCUUCGGGUUGUAAAGCACUUUCAGUCGUGAGGAAGGUGGUGUAGUUAAUAGCUGCAUUAUUUGACGUUAGCGACAGAAGAAGCACCGGCUAACUCCGUGCCAGCAGCCGCGGUAAUACGGAGGGUGCGAGCGUUAAUCGGAAUUACUGGGCGUAAAGCGCAUGCAGGUGGUUAGUUAAGUCAGAUGUGAAAGCCCGGGGCUCAACCUCGGAACUGCAUUUGAAACUGGCUGACUAGAGUACUGUAGAGGGGGGUAGAAUUUCAGGUGUAGCGGUGAAAUGCGUAGAGAUCUGAAGGAAUACCGGUGGCGAAGGCGGCCCCCUGGACAGAUACUGACACUCAGAUGCGAAAGCGUGGGGAGCAAACAGGAUUAGAUACCCUGGUAGUCCACGCCGUAAACGAUGUCUACUUGGAGGUUGUGGCCUUGAGCCGUGGCUUUCGGAGCUAACGCGUUAAGUAGACCGCCUGGGGAGUACGGUCGCAAGAUUAAAACUCAAAUGAAUUGACGGGGGCCCGCACAAGCGGUGGAGCAUGUGGUUUAAUUCGAUGCAACGCGAAGAACCUUACCUACUCUUGACAUCCAGAGAACUUAGCAGAGAUGCUUUGGUGCCUUCGGGAACUCUGAGACAGGUGCUGCAUGGCUGUCGUCAGCUCGUGUUGUGAAAUGUUGGGGUUAAGUCCCGCAACGAGCGCAACCCUUAUCCUUGUUUGCCAGCGAGUAAUGUCGGGAACUCCAGGGAGACUGCCGGUGAUAAACCGGAGGAAGGGUGGGGACGACGUCAAGUCAUCAUGGCCCUUA